rnacentral:rRNA from 1 species
GAUGAACGCUAGCGGCAGGCUUAAUACAUGCAAGUCGAGGGGCAGCAUGACUGUAGCAAUACGGUUGAUGGCGACCGGCAAACGGGUGCGGAACACAUACAGAACCUUCCUUCGAGCGGGGAAUAGCCCAGAGAAAUUUGGAUUAAUACCCCAUAGUAUAGCGGAGUGGCAUCACUCUGUUAUUAAAGAUUUAUCACUUGAAGAUGGCUGUGCGGCUGAUUAGGUAGUUGGCGGGGUAACGGCCCACCAAGCCUGCGAUCAGUAACUGGUGUGAGGGCACGACCAGUCACACGGGCACUGAGACACGGGCCCGACUCCUACGGGGGGCAGCAGUAAGUAAUAUUGGUCAAUGUACGAACGUCUGAACCAGCCAUGCCGCGUGAAUGAUGAAGGUCCUCUAGAUUGUAAACUUCUUUUAUAUGUGACGAAAAAAGGCUUUUCUAAGUCGUCUGCCGGUACCAUUUGAAUAAGCACCGACUAACUCCGUGCCAGCCGCCGCCGUAAAAC